rnacentral:lncRNA from 1 species
CUGAGACGGUGCCGCAGGGAAGCCGUUCAUGCUGCCCUCAGCCAGGUUCUGGGGAGGCUCCUGUGUCAGGCCACCCUGAGACUGGUAGAAAGUUGGGUACCCAUGGCCUCCAAAUUGGGAAGGCUGCGGCUGCUGCGCCUGGCGAAAGCCACCCAGCUGACUCUGUCCCUGGAAGCCAUAAAAGUGGCCUUGCGGAAGUGCUGACGUGGCUCUUGAACCAGAGCCAUGAAGCCACAUUGCAGAGUUGUCACCCUGAAAGAGAUAACAACAAAUCAACAUUUCUGUAAAAACCUUCAUCAAGAAAUAGAGAUGACAUUUUAGGGCAGAUACAGAUGAGAUGACAAUAAUUGGGAAGAGGACAAAAGGUUAGCCAAGGUUACAGGGGUAACAGUAUGCGAUCAUUACCUGCUGUGGAGCCAUGUACUGACUGGUAUCUUUGUACUGUCUGCUCAAUGCUUCAUCAAACCCGAGAGUUGAUGCAGAGCCAGUACUCUGAUUAAGGGCAAAAUUUCCUGGAAGAUUACUUGAGUUUCCAAAGCCUCCAUAACCAGAGAUAACCGAAGAAGGCGGUGGUUGUUGUUGCGGUUGCUGUUGCAGGCCUGUAGCAGACAGGUUGUUCUUAUACUCUGGUGUCGAGUACUUCAAACCAGAUCCGAGCAAAGCAGCCGCAGACUGAUGGAACUGUGCAUUACUCGGGUAUGGUUGCUGGAAGGCGCCUGAAGAUAGGUAAGUAGCAUAGUUCUGUGGCAAAUAUGUCGGAUAACCAAACAUAUUUGCAAAAUGUGUGAGGGGUAAUGUUGGCUGAGAGUAAGGGUGAGCAGCUAAUUGCUGAGGGAGAGGAGGCCCUGUC